AGAGCGAACGCUGGCGGCAGGCCUAACACAUGCAAGUCGAGCGCCCCGCAAGGGGAGCGGCAGACGGGAGAGUAACACGUGGGAACGUACCCUUUGGUUCGGAACAACACAGGGAAACUUGUGCUAAUACCUGAUAAGCCCUUACGGGGAAAGAUUUAUUGCCAAAGGAUCGGCCCGCGUCUGAUUAGCUUGUUGGUGAGGUAACGGCUCACCAAGGCUACGAUCAGUAGCUGGUCUGAGAGGAUGAUCAGCCUCACUGGGACUGAGACACGGCCCAGACUCCUACGGGAGGCAGCAGUGGGGAAUAUUGGACAAUGGGCGCAAGCCUGAUCCAGCCAUGCCGCGUGGAUGAUGAAGGCCCUAGGGGUUGUAAAGUCCUUUCGACGGGGAAGAUAAUGACGGUACCCGUAGAAGAAGCCCGGCUAACUUCGUGCCAGCAGCCGC
rnacentral:rRNA from 1 species